AUGGCAGGGGUCGGGGGGACGGCGGGCGCCUCCCGCCUGCUCGGGGCUCUGUGCCUCGCCGCCGCUUGCCUUCACCUGGCGCACGGCAGGGAAGCCGGAGCGGAAUGGACCCUGGAGAAGUAUUCCCAUCAGCCACGAAUUUUACAUUCUGAUACUAUUCAAAAAGUUGCAGCAAACACAGAUGUUUCUGAAAUGUGGGAGAAUGAUUUGCAUCCCAUCCUGAUAGAAAGAUACUCAGGAUCACCAGGAAACUAUGUUGUACGACAGCAUAUCAAGCACCGUCUCCAAAGAUUACAGGCUGGCUGGGAAAUUGAGGAAGACACAUUUCAGAGAUACACACCAUAUGGAUAUCAAGCAUUUUCAAAUAUUAUCAGCACCCUUGACCCCUCUGCAAAACGCCACCUAGUACUUGCUUGCCACUAUGACUCCAAAUUCUUUGGACAGCAAUGGCAGGAGAGAGUGUUCGUAGGAGCAACUGAUUCAGCUGUGCCUUGUGCAAUGAUACUGGAGCUGGCACGUGCCCUGGAUGACAAGCUUCAGUUAAUCAAGACCAGCUCAACAUCAAGACCAGACCUUUCACUUCAGCUCAUUUUUUUUGAUGGUGAAGAGGCUUUUGUCCGGUGGUCCCCUUCAGAUUCCCUCUACGGGUCUCAACACUUAGCUCAGAAAAUGGUAUCUACUCCACAUCCACCUGGUUCAACAACCACCAAUCAGCUGCAGGGCAUAGACCUGCUUGUGCUACUGGAUUUAAUUGGUGCACCAAACCCCGUCUUCCCCAGUUAUUUUCCAGAUACUAUCCGAUGGUUUCAGAGGCUUCAAGCAAUUGAGCAAGAGCUACACAACAUGAAUCUGUUAAAGAAUCACCUUUCUGAAAGGCAAUAUUUCCAGACUACUUCACAUCGAGGCUUGGUUGAAGAUGACCAUAUUCCUUUUUUAUUAAGAGGGGUUCCAGUCCUACAUCUGAUUCCAUCCCCUUUCCCUGCAGUAUGGCAUACCAUGGAGGACACAGAAGAAAACCUGGAUAAAAACACUAUUGACAAUCUCAGCAAAAUCCUGCAAGUGUUUGUCCUGGAAUACCUAAACCUUUGAUAGCCAAAAUGGCAACAAAUUGUACUUCACUCUUAAUACUGUUUGUUCACCAUCACAGUUACUAUUUAAUUGCAUUGGAGAGCACUAAAGCAAGGCGAAUUACAAUGACAGUUCUUGUGACACUGAUUAUUGAUUCAGCUGUUCCUAGCCCAAUGUUCCAUGUAGUCAAAUAAGAUAGCAUUAAACAAGAAUUAGUUUCAGUCUGGAAAGAAUUUGAUCUUUCCAUGUCUUACCCCUGAAUAAAAAAAACACCCACAAUUUUUCCAGAUUGUUAUCACAGUUUCAUGUCACAUAUUAAGAUCCCAGAUGGAAAUGCCUUCCAGUUUAACUACAGUUUUCACAAGGUGUGAUCAACUAUUGCAGCAUUCAGCAAUGGAAAUUCAUACCACAUUAACAAAAGAGGCAACUAUUACACUAAAACAAACGUCUAAUUUGGGUUGAAUUAAACCACCUCAUCCUGAAAUUAGUUGCUAGAACUCUUGACACAUAGAAGGGAUUUUUAAUCCUCUCUUCACUCUCUCCUCCUUCCCCUACAAAGAAGGCUAGUAAGGAAACAAAAAUAACCCAAAUUCAGUUUUUUACCUGAAAAACUGUUUGUUGGAUACUUUUUGAUGGAGAAGGGUGAAGGGGAGUGAUGCUAAGAGGAUGGUGUGGGGAGGUUUCCAUCAUGCUUUGACUGGAACACAGGAGAUGUAAACAGAAGAGUAGGUGGUGUGUGAGAUGCUAUGCCCCAGCACACACUAUGCAUUCAUGCCAGUAUGACAAUUUGAAAGAAAACAACCAACCCUGCUGUUUUUAAUACAGAUUACAUCAGAAGUAAUCAUACUAGGAAACUGAUGACUGUAGAAACUUAUCAUUUUAUAUAAAUAAAAUUGUAAAGGCAAAGUAUUAUUUAUUAAGGUUCAAGUACAUAUGAGAGUCAGAAGCAAGAAGACAUGUUUAAGCACCACAAAGUAAGGACAAGCCAUAGCCCAUUUCAGAAAUGAUACUCACUGUUUUAGCAACACUCUGCUUUUACUGGAACUUUUUAUAUUCCUUACUGGAACUAUUCAAGAAAUUUAGUAUAACACUCUGGAAAAAAAAAAUCCCAAACCGUAGCCUGGAAUUAUAUCAACAGGAGAAGCCAGAAGAAGAGUGUUCAAAAGCUGCCUACAGGAUUGGUUCCCACCGGUAUUACUGUACAUCUGUGUAGAUACAUCAGUUAAUUGAACUCUGCUAUCAUAUUCUGCUCUGCUUCAUCCCAUAAGAAGACACUCCAAACAACUGAAUUAAAUCUCCUGAGGUUUGAAUAGUCUGAGCGGUGGUAAGGCACUCCCUAACUGGUGAAAAAAGGUAACCAAAUGGCUAUAUACAGAAAUACUAAUAUGAGUUUGUGUGGCUAAUAUAAUUUUUGCCGGUCAAUUCUUGUGGUACUUCACACUUUGAAGAGCCUAUGAAAAAUGUAGAAUGCAUUUGCAGUAUGUACUGAUACUCUGCUUUCUUCAGAAUUUCAAAGCUAAGAUUCAUUAUGAAAUGUGGGUUCAGAGGGUUGUUAUAACUGGGAGACGUUUAAUUCUUUAAAAUCUCUAUUUUUGAGACUUUAAUUUAACCAUGUAGUACACCAAAUCUCUGGCAUGUCAGUUUUGUCACCAAAUUCUCCCUGCCUGAGCAUGCAGUUCUCUUGAGUUAUGUUUAUUACCCAGUUCAGUGAACUGAGAUACAGGUUGGUGAAACAUGACUUAGUGGUUCUCAAAAUACGAAGAAAACAAAAAGACGCUUGCUUUUUUUUCUCCCUUUGUUUUUUUGGGGGGGCAGGGGGGUAGAGAAAAAUAAGGCGAUCAACUAGAUGUCAGCCCUGGAAAUGGUUUACUUAGAGAGGGAGGAUCAUUAUCUUAGCAAUUUAUAUGAUGUCAUUAAUAUAAAAAAAUAAAUGCUGGAAAGAAAACUUACAUCAGCACAGUAACCACAUGAAUCCAAGAAUCUUAAGUUCCCAAAAUAUUAAGAACCUGAGGCAGUUGGUAAAGCAAAGACAUGGUGAAAGGUGCAUUCUCACCGCUGCUAAAGCAGAGGAGAAUAAGCAAGUAGGUGACUGUCUAGCCAUUUCAUAAAAUAUCCAGGAAACAAAAAAAUACAGGUAAGAAGACCAGGAUUGGUAUCUUUCACUCUCACUUUCAACUCUGAAUAUCACAGUAAGUAUCCUGAUCCUUAGGAUCUGGACAUGCACGGUACAGAUAAUUACUUCAGAACUUGGAGACACGCUUUAGGUUGAAGAGCCAUCCCUGCACAGUUUCUCUGUUGGAUGGUGGCAGCAGGGGACAGAAAUCAAUGGAGGGACUUCAACUAAAUUAAUAAUUACACAAAUAAACAGAAUUGCUGAACAGGUUCUCUCCUUGAACAGGAUUUGUCACAUCUCAGUCAAGGUGUGGGGGGGUGGGUAUGGGGAAUAAAACCCAUCAAUCUACCACCCACGAGAGGCUGUCAUUGGCUUGUCAGAGUCCUCUCAAAGGUGUAUGUGGUUAUUAUAUGGGUAAAGGGAAUGCAGAACAGACUGAAUUCAAGAGCCACUACUCAAUAGGGAAAGCUGAAAAAAAUUCCCAUAUUAGUUCCUUGUAUUGCAGUAGGUGCUCUAGCUCCUUUUGUAUCAGGACAAUGCAGUUUUUCGUAAGAGCCUUAAGUCUAAGUAAUGGUACAUGCCCCUUGAAUUCUCUAAAGCUUGAUGCAUUUGCCUACAAGUGAAGUGAUCCUAUGCAAACACAGCUAGAACAAGUUAAGGGAGUAACAAUGCCAAAUCCUCUGGUAGACAGAAAUGACAGUGAGCACCAGCCCACUUUUUUUCUCCAGCUGAGGCAGCAUUCCUAUCACUAGGAAUGAAGAUGAUAAAAAUUAGUAAUUCUUAUUCACAUUUCAAAUAAACAUUUAGAUUGUGACCACCUAACAGCAAAUUACAAAUAGAAAAGACAAAAUGUGAUAAAAAAUGCUUUCUGUGGAAUUAUUUCACAAACCCAGCCUACACUGAUAGCAGACCCAGCAAAAUAUUUCUUGAGUUUCACACUAGUGCUCAUUGAGAUUGAAGUAUCACCCAA